CAUUGUUUAGAAAUACUUCCUUUAGGAAUCUACACUUGAAAGUGAUGUGUCUCACAGUCCUGUCAGCUCCCCAUUGGAAGACUGUGGGCCUAUCACUUCAACUCCACCUUCAACUCCAGAAGAGACUCAGGAUAGUCGGUGUGAUGCAAGGGGAGUUCCCGGAUGGGAGGCAGUCGAUGCCUUGGCAAAGUACCUUGUCAGCCUCAACCGCACAAUAACAUCUCUGUCAAACUCUGAAAUAGCAGAGAUAUUGAGACUGUACGCCUGCCUGGAUCCCAUUGACAAGUCCCCAACCAAAUACUCUCUGAAAAGCAAGAAAAAGACCUUGCCAGGGCCAUGGAGAGCUUCAAGGAAGCGCAGUGGCUCUGCUCCAGGCCAGCAAGCAGCAGAGAGAUUGGUCAUGGUUCAUGGCCAGGCUGCCCUCAGACCUGAUUAUAAC